GGAGGAUCCGAGCGUURUCCGGAUUUAUUGGGUUUAAAGGGUGCGUAGGCGGGAURGUAARUCAGUGGUGAAAGCCCGCAGCUCAACUGCGGAACUGCCAUUGAUACUGCUAACCUUGAGUAUGUAUGAUGUGGGCGGAAUGUGCAGUGUAGCGGUGAAAUGCUUARAUAUUGCACAGAACACCAAUUGCGAAGGCAGCUCACAAAAACAUAACUGACGCUGAGGCACGAAAGCGUGGGGAUCAAACAGGAUUAGAUACCCUGGUAGUCCACGCCGUAAACGUUGAAUACUCGAUGUGUGCGAUAUACAGUACGCGUCUAAGCGAAAGUGAUAAGUAUUCCACCUGGGGAGUACGCUCGCAAGAGUG
rnacentral:rRNA from 1 species